GGAGCGGUAUCGAAGUGGCUAUAACGGGGCUGACUCGAAAUCAGUUGACGGGCAACCGUCCGUGGGUUCGAAUCCCACCCGCUCCGCCA
rnacentral:tRNA from 1 species